rnacentral:rRNA from 1 species
CCAACCUGAACGUGCCCAAUCUCAUCUGAUCUAGGAAGCUAAGCAGUGUUGGGCCUUGUUAGUACUUGAAUUAGAGAUCACCUGAGAAUACAGGGU